CUGAGAGAUGUGCUGGUGCUCAAGGAAUGCAGCUAGUGUUCCCCUCUAAGGCAUUCUCUGGGGACCAGUUGGCUCAGACCUGCAAAGGAGAUGCAGGCCAGAACCCUGAACUACAGGAGAAAAGAAGCCUUCAUUGCUCUCAGGGGAUUAGAGAGGUUUCUGGGAGCACGUAGCAUGGGAAAUGAACUCCAAAAUAGAUAGGUUUUGACAGGCCAGGGUGGGUGCUGUAGGGCCUAUCUGCAUACUUAGAACAGAAUCCUUGACAAUUUCCUGCAGGUAGGGAGACCAUAUUCCUAUGCAUGACUCCCAGGACAACUGAAGUACAAAACUGUGAUGUGAGUCCAAGCAAAGUCAUUAGAAGACUUCUAGUGUGUAGACUUGGGGUAUCUGUCCUCAGUUCAACACAGUUAGUAUGGUUCAUGCCCAGGAGUGUAGCUCUAUUCCACUCUUCACUCCUCAAGUAAAAGCAGCAAUAGUUCAAUAUGCAUAUAUUCACAGGCAUCCAUGGUGAUGACUACCUUUGCUCACUCCACAACCUCUGCUCACUGUGGGUCAGGUACUGUGGGAAAUGGAGACAAAAAGCAUGUGCUCCCUGCUCCUGGUGAGUCCCAAGUCCUAGGAUGACAGCCACAUUGUGAUAAAUGCCUGUGAAAACAAGAACAAGGUCAAGAUGAUGGGAUUGGGUUGAAGGGUGAGUGAUCACUUUUCUUUGCAGGUGCAGCUGGGGGUCAAUGAAGGGGGUAUCCUCUGGAUCACCCAGGACAGGGGAUAUGACUGGACCUUUAGAUUUGGGGCACAGUUUCAAAAGAAAAUAAAGGGAUUUAUGCAUUUUUGUGUACUUGAGCCUCCUGACAUGAGUGGAAAUAGUCUGUCCACAUUUUCUUGACUUUAGCAGAGAUGGA
rnacentral:lncRNA from 1 species